UACGUAGGUGGCAAGCGUUGUCCGGAUUUACUGGGCGUAAAGAGCGCGCAGGCGGUCGAUCAAGUCGCGUGUGAAAGCCCCCCGGCUCAACUGGGGAGGGUCACGCGAUACUGAUCGACUCGAAGGCAGGAGAGGGUAGUGGAAUUCCCGGUGUAGUGGUGAAAUGCGUAGAUAUCGGGGAGGAACACCCAGUGGCGAAGGCGACUACCUGCCUGUUCUUGACGCUGAGGCGCGAAAGCUAGGGGAGCAAACAGG
rnacentral:rRNA from 1 species